rnacentral:rRNA from 1 species
AUCCUGGCUCAGGAUGAACGCUAGCUACAGGCUUAACACAUGCAAGUCGAGGGGCAGCAGGACGGUAGCUUGCUAUCGUUGCUGGCGACCGGCGCACGGGUGAGUAACGCGUAUCCAACCUUCCCAUGACUCCGGUUCAGCCCGCCGAAAGGCGGAUUACUCCCGGAUGGUUUCCGAAGAGGGCAUCUGAUUUGGAAUAAAGAUUGAUCGGUCAUGGAUGGGGAUGCGUCUGAUUAGACAGCAGGCGGGGUAACGGCCCACCUGGCCAACGAUCAGUAGGGGUUCUGAGAGGAAGGUCCCCCACACUGGAACUGAGACACGGUCCAGACUCCUACGGGAGGCAGCAGUGAGGAAUAUUGGUCAAUGGGCGAGAGCCUGAACCAGCCAAGUAGCGUGCAGGAUGACGGCCCUAUGGGUUGUAAACUGCUUUUAUAUGAGGAUAAAGUUCGUUACGUGUAACGUUUUGCAGGUAUCAUAUGAAUAAGGACCGGCUAAUUCCGUGCCAGCAGCCGCGGUAAUACGGAAGGUCCGGGCGUUAUCCGGAUUUAUUGGGUUUAAAGGGUGCGUAGGCGGACUAAUAAGUCAGUGGUGAAAGACACGGGCUCAACCGGUGUAUUGCCAUUGAUACUGAUAGACUAGAGAGUAGUUGGCGCUGGCGGAAUGUGUCAUGUAGCGGUGAAAUGCAUAGAGAUGACACAGAACACCGAUCGCGAAGGCAGCUAGCGAAGCUAUAUCUGACGCUGAGGCACGAAAGCGUGGGGAUCGAACAGGAUUAGAUACCCUGGUAGUCCACGCAGUAAACGAUGAUAACUUGUUUUUGGCGAUAUAGUGUCAGAGACAAAGCGAAAGCGAUAAGUUAUCCACCUGGGGAGUACGAUCGCAAGGUUGAAACUCAAAGGAAUUGACGGGGGCCCGCACAAGCGGAGGAGCAUGUGGUUUAAUUCGAUGAUACGCGAGGAACCUUACCCAGACUCAAAUGCAGAUAGAAUUAUUCAGAGAUGGAUAAGCCCUUCGGGGCUAUUUGCAAGGUGCUGCAUGGUUGUCGUCAGCUCGUGCCGUGAGGUGUCAGGUUAAGUCCUAUAACGAGCGCAACCCUUACGUCCAGUUGCCAGCGGGUAAAGCCGGGGACUCUGGAGGGACUGCCGGCGCAAGCCGAGAGGAAGGUGGGGAUGACGUCAAAUCAGCACGGCCCUUACGUCUGGGGCGACACACGUGCUACAAUGGCCGGUACAGAGGGCAGCGAGCCUGUGAGGGUAAGCGAAUCUCGAAAGCCGGUCUCAGUUCGGAUCGGAGUCUGCAACUCGACUCCGUGAAGUUGGAUUCGCUAGUAAUCGCGCAUCAGCCAUGGCGCGGUGAAUACGUUCCCGGGCCUUGCACUCACCGCCCGUCA